rnacentral:rRNA from 1 species
GACGAACGCUGGCGGCGUGCUUAACACAUGCAAGUCGAGCGCUGAAGCUCAGCUUUUGUUGGGUGGAUGAGUGGCGAACGGGUGAGUAACACGUGAGUAACCUGCCUCCUUCUUUGGGAUAACGCCCGGAAACGGGUGCUAAUACUGGAUAUUCACUGGUCUUCGCAUGGGGGGUGGUGGAAAGGGUUUUUCUGGUGGGGGAUGGGCUCGCGGCCUAUCAGCUUGUUGGUGGGGUGAUGGCCUACCAAGGCUUUGACGGGUAGCCGGCCUGAGAGGGUGACCGGUCACAUUGGGACGGAGAUACGGCCGAGACUCCUACGGGAGGCAGCAGUGGGGAAUAUUGCAGAAUGGGCGAAAGACUGAUGCAGCGACGCCGCGUGAGGGAUGGAGGCCUUCGGGUUGUGAACCUCUUUCGCUCAUGGUCAAGCCGCAACAAUGGUUGUGGUGAGGGUAGUGGGUAAAGAAGCGCCGGCUAACUACGUG